UACGAAGGGGGCUAGCGUUGUUCGGAAUUACUGGGCGUAAAGCGCACGUAGGCGGAUAUUUAAGUCAGGGGUGAAAUCCCAGAGCUCAACUCUGGAACUGCCUUUGAUACUGGGUAUCUUGAGUAUGGAAGAGGUAAGUGGAAUUCCGAGUGUAGAGGUGAAAUUCGUAGAUAUUCGGAGGAACACCAGUGGCGAAGGCGGCUUACUGGCUCGAUACUGACGCUGAGGUGCGAAAGCGUGGGGAGCAAACAGG
rnacentral:rRNA from 1 species